GAGGGCUGCUAAUGUGUUCCCUCCACAUCAACAGACACAUCAGUUUGUAGAUUCUUUUUGUGGGUUUUAUUUGUCAGUGUAGAAUUAAUCCUUUCUAUUUAUUUAUUUAUGGAAUUAGUGCUUUAUUAUUUUAUUACUGAACAAUAGAGCAUGGGUGAUUGGGUGAAGAGCCCCAAACCGAAGCAAAUCUUAAACCUACAAAAUACAAAUAAUCUAGCACCGCUUGUGGUUCAAAAGUUGGUGUUGAAAGCCAAGUAGGAUAGUUGCACCAAGCCAAGUAGGAUAGUUGUCACUACUAAAUAACUUGAUAUUUGCCACAGACCAUAGUUGUGGCUAAACACCUUUUGCCACAGCUCAAGCAUGUAGCAUGGGCUGUAGCUAAACCACCUGUGGCCUAUAGUCAGGUAGUAGAAGCCACACUAAUGGGCUGUAGCAAAAGAGCUAUUGCACCACAUGAGCAAAUAUUCGACAUAAAAGUGUACUUAGUUUUUGACUUUUUAUAAGCAUCAACAUGAGCAAUUCCUUCGAUGAGCACCAUUGGACCUCCUACCAGCAUCACAUCAGCAAUUCCUUCGAUGAUUACCUACCUGAACACCAAAGGCAAUGUCACUUAGACAUAUAACAGUCACAUUUACUGAAACUAUACCCUGUUGAUAUAACCAGACUUGAAAAUUACUGAAAGUGACACUAUAACCAGACCUGAAAAUCAGACCACACCAUGGCUUAUCUAGCUUCUCUUCAGUAAAGAAGCAAUCUGUUCUACUGAUGGGUCAACUCUAUAUUAACUUUUGUUUAUUCAAAAGUGAAAAUCUCUAUGAUUACAACACAAAUACUUUACAGUUACAAGGAUGUCAACUACGGAUGGUUCCUCAACUAUUUCUUUAUUAGUAUAUUAGAUAGCACAAAUUAGAAUAGUAACACAUACGUAUUUGGAGUGCUGGUUUUUAAGUGCAAAACUUGCAUUUUUAUAGAUAUUGAUACCUUAAACCUCCCCGAAAUACAUCAUACUUCGUUAUGAACAUCUAACAAGUUAAACUCUGAUCUAACGUUUUUCUUCCAGUCAACUACUUCCUUAGUUCAGCACACACCCUUUGUUCUUCCUCAACCUGGCUAUAGAGAUUGGAUAGGUCAACUACUACUUGUUCGUAAUUUUUACACUUGAAAACCGUAUUUCUAUCAAAUCCAAAGCCACACGUACAGGACAUAAGUAACAUACAUAAACAUGUGAUAAUUUUUCAAAGAUAAGUUGGAACACAAACAAAUUCCAGAAAUAAUUAGCUUAAAUUUGGUGGUCAAUCGGUUCAAUCAUAUAUUCAUAUAUUAUAUGCAAAUUAAGCAAAGAACCAACGUAACCACCUGUAAAUAUCAAAUUACCAAGAAAUACAGAGAGAGUGAGAGAGUGAGAGAGAGAGAGAGAGAGAGAGAGAGAGAGAGAGAGAGAGAGAGAGAGAGAGAUUUACUUACUAAUAGUAGGAGAAAGAUGUUCGAAAGUGUCUAAAGUGAAACUGAGAAGAAGACUACUUUUACCAACACCUGAAUCUCCAACAAACAACAAUUUGAACAAGUAAUCAAAUUCUACUCCUCCUACUCCUAAAUCCAUCGAUGAUGAUGAUGAAAACAUGUCAGAUGAAAACAUGGAGUGAUGAAAACUCUAGAGAACAGUAUAUAUAUUAUCCUACUCAUUUGGCUUUUUCAAGUGAUGAAAACAUGGAGUGAUGAGAACAUGGAGUAAUCAAAUUCUACUUUUGCGCUUAAACUCUAGAGAAUAGUAUAACUAAAUCCUACUCAUUUGGCUUUUUCAUUCUACCAAAAAGCAGGUCCGCUGAAAACAUGGAGUGAUGAGAUGAAUGCGCAGCUUCAAAAAGGUUACUAAAAGGUGUUUUGCGCUUCAUACUUUUAAGUUUCAUCUAAACUUUGAGAUACCAGGGCAGUAGAGCUCCUUAUGCCUAGAGUUUCUUGUGCUCCCUAGUUUCACUCCUAGUUUCAGCUUAAUGGUCUCUCAAUAAUAUAAUAUAAUUACAGUUAUUAGUGCGAGCAUGGUAAUAGAAACAUGGGGGAGGUUCACAAGUGGCAUAAUUUCAUAUAAUAGAUGACCAACUUACAAUAUGCAAAACAAGUAAGCUAGAAACUGAGUUAAUGUGAAAAUGAUCACCUUGAUGCCCUUGAUUUUUCCAAACCCAUUCUUCCUUGAAUGCUCUUUGUAGUGACAUACUUCAAUUCAUGAUCAACAUCCUAAUAUAAAAUUCAACACAUUUCUAGAUUAAUAAGAAAUCACAAGCCAAAAUAAAGCCAUACAAGUCAGCAGAUAACCUCAUCAAUGUGUUGACAGUGUUCAUUCAAGCAUUUUCAAAAUGGUAUAAAACCUAUCAUCCUUGAAAAUUGCUAGCCAAGUGCAAGCAGUUGUUUCUAUGUGGAUAGGAAGCAUUGCUAUCUAUCAAUGCAGAUAAUGUCAUAGAUAAGAUGAUACGAGGGCUCGGUAUAGAGAGAAAUUCUUCUGUAUCUAUGAGUUGCAGUAAAAAGUUUCUGUAAAGAAUGUUGUAACACUAUCAAUGGUGGCCUAAGAUGCAAUUUCCUGGGCAAGGAAAUGAAGGCCUCUAGGAGCAAAGUUACUGGUUCAUUUCAAAGAACAGAAAAUGCCCAAAUGAUUGAUUUUGAAUCUUAACAGAAAAAUCAUAUGUACCUGUACCACAACAUCAUUGACUAAUGUCAUGCGAGUGCUUGGGUCCUUAUUUGUGACUUCAUUAAUCUUCUCCUAUUAUUUGAUGUCAAUCACAAAAUGGUAACACAAUUAGCUUUUCAAUCACAAAUAAGUAUUAUUGGAUGUCAAUCACAAUGUACUAAAGCUCAGGUGAAUAAAACUCUCAAAGAAACUUACCGGCGCUGCGAUGCCUUAUUUGCCUUUGUGUGGAGCUCCAAGAAUAUAUCAGACCUUAAAUUUGAAAAUCAUGCACAUUCCUUUCCACAGCCAUCUCGUGGCGUAGAACUUCUAUGGAUUUCCUCCCAAUACAAGGAGGUGCUGUUUGUUUCGACCGGUUUAUGGUAUUCCUUGCGCUAGCUUCCUGCCAAAAAUAAGUACAUGAGUUUCCAAUAGUGAAAAAUGUACCGAAAGAAGAAAAAAAAAACCAACCAGUUGUUUUCAAUAUAAACAUUCCUAAUGUAAGGCGAGGGCACCUCAGGAAAAGUCUGAUAACAACAUGGGAUGUCACGACGCGAUAAUAAACCCAAUUCUGAUGAAAACAAUGAGACUGCCUCUUUAGGAUCAUAUGGUUGUCCAAACUCAUCAAUCUUCAACACUAACUUCCCUUCAAAUUAAACGUUCAAUAUGCCUUUUGCAAUAGUUCUUUUCUUUGACGACCUGGACAAGGGCUCCUUUCCUACAUAUGUAAGGAAUGACUAUCAGAUACUUUUGUAGUUACAGUGUAGCUACAAAGUUCAAGGAUUCAACAAUUUCAUUUACAAUAAAAUCCCAGGAAAAACUACAACCUCAAACGAGGCAAAAGUGUAAAUUUACAGAGCAGCGCUAGGAAGUAAUAAACAUCAAUAAUGAAAAGGAAUAGUGGUCAGAUAAUUUUGUAGUUACUGUGUAGCUACAAAGUUCAUGGAUUCAACCAUUUCAUCCACAGUAAAAAUCCUAGAAAAAACUACAGUUCAACAACCUCAAACGAGGCAGAAAUGUAAAUCUGCAGAGCAGCUUUAUGCCAUAAUAAAGUUAGGAAAACUACUUCAAAUAAUCACCAACCUACACCGACAAAAUUUUCAGUAUAUAUCAAUACUAUAGUAACUAACUUGUAUAAUGACAGCUUCAAGCUAACAACACUAUAGAAACUUAGACACUACUGCACUUUCCUUUCCUAGAUGAUUUAGUCUAGUUACUAGAUUAUGAACUAGGUCAUAAUCUACUGCACUACUAUAUUCAUAUCUUUAUAAAGUUCUGUGUAUAAACAUUACUGCACUACUACAUUCAUAUCUUUAUAAAGUUCUGUGCAUAAACAAGCAAAUAUCAAAGUGAAGAAAGUGACACUAUAACCAUCAAUAAUAAUAUUGUUUGUAUUUACAUGUGCUUUUUCUAUAUAGCUUUCCAUAAUGCAUGGAAUAGUGGGAAUUAGUCCAUUUCUAAGCAGUGUACCUAUCUUAUUGGGAUUGAGAACGUAGCUCUAUAAUCAGAAAAAUCUCUAUAGUCGUAUCUUAACAUGGAGCCCAAGACAAGAACAAGUCAAGAUGUUAUACCAAAGAAAAGCAGCAGCAGGAAUAAGGGAAGGGUAUUAGUUCAUUUCAAAAGUUCACUAUGAAAAGUGCUUCAAAAAAUGGACAAAAAGAAGGACAAAUGUGAAAAAUAAACAACUGGAACAUGUGGACUUCAUGUUCAAGUUAAAAACAAAGGUGAAACACAGAAACUACAUGUUCUUUUCAUAACAAUAACUUAUAACUUGGAUGUAUCAUGCAUGUCAUCACAGUUAAUAACAUUUUUUUUGUAGAAAAAUAAUUGUAAGGCUGCUAUAGUUCUCCCCCAAGUAUACAGAAGACCAUAAACUUCCUUCAUGAGGAGACAGAGAACAGUAAACAUGGAAAUGACAGGACAACAGGAUGGCAAAUAAGCGUUUUGGAAAUCCUAUCUCAUCCAGUUUAUAUGGUAAGUAGUACACUAUGUUAUUUACAUUUUAAAAGAGAACUGGGUUAAAAGUUUAAAAGUUUCCUGUACUAUAUUUAGCUUCAUUGUAACUCGUCUCUUCAAGUAUAAUAGUGGUUGCUAGCCUAUAUAAUAGUGGUUGCUAAUGCCUAUGUUAUUUCAUUAACUUCCAUUUCUAGUGUCAAACAUGUUUCACAAAUAUUCAUGUGCUUUCAACUCUUAUUGUUCAUUCAAGCCUUUCAUCAAACAGUUAUGAAUCAAACACAAUGAGUAAGAAAACAGUAGCAGCUAUAUAAAAAGGUAUCUCAAGUUUAUUUUGCAAGGCAUAAAAUACACAGUGUUUUCAUUCCGGCAUUUAAUCAAACAGUUAUGAAAACACAUUAAUGAACUUACACACAUAACACAAAUCUCAAAUUGUCAAACAAUGAAACAAUUGAAACACAAAUCAAUUGCUAUAAACACAAAUCAAUUGACACACAAAGUGAUUAUAGACACAUUGUAGAUUUAGAAUCAAACAAUUACACAGAUCAAUCAAUAAAACCUUUUAUAGCCGAUAAAUCAAACAAAUUGAUGGAAUCAAACCAUUACAAUAUGAAUCACGAAGAACUGAUAAAUCAAACAAAUCGAUUGUGACGAACCUUCUGUGGCUAUUAAUCACGAAGAACCUUCUGCCGCUGUUAAUCACGAAGAACAUUCCAUAGCUGGUGGAGAGAAGUGUUGAUCGAAUGAAUUGAGAGUUUUGAACUUUGAAGUCGAAGAGAGGGAAAGAUAGGUGUGAAAUCGAAGAGAGGGAAAGAUAGGUGUGAAAUCGAAGAGAGAGAUGUGUGAAGUCGAAGAGAGAGAAAGAGAGGUGUGAAAGUGAAACUGGGAAUCGAUAGGUGUGAAAGUGAAACUGUGAGAGAUAUGUUCUGUCAUGUCAAGUCGAAGAGAGAGAAAGAUAGGGUUAUGUUACAUUGGGCCACAACAACAAAAGCCACAGCCCAAAACUGAUGCAAGCCCAUCUACUGAUUAGGGCCGUGGCUAAAGGUUCGUCCUAGCUGUGACCAAAUCCUAGUUUUCUGGUAGUGUGCACCA
rnacentral:lncRNA from 1 species